rnacentral:lncRNA from 1 species
UCGGGCGUGGAGCUGGCAGCUGCGCGGUGUGCCGAGACAGGGCGUGUUAGUUAUUUAGUGCAGGUGUAGCAGGGAACGAGGGCAUCUGUCGCAGCCGGAGUGCGUCCUGCCGAAGCCUGUGGUUGCACGCCCACCCUCUUAGGGGCUGCCCUCUGCGGAAAUCUUAGUGAUGGUACUUCUCAGUGGUCUUUGCCCACCUGUCUCAUGGUCUCAUUGUACCCGCACACCCACUGCCUCAUUCUUCAUCUAAUUCAGAAUUCCCAGGAGAAGUUGGGUGGCUGGGCCCAGUGUGCUGGGGUCAA